ACUAGGUAUGAUAGCACGUGCAUGUAAUUCCUGCUCCUGGAGAGUCUGAGGCUAUGGAAUUACUUGAGUUCAGGAGUUCUGAGCUGCAGUUACCUAAAACUGAUUGUCUGGCCACACUAAGCCUGGCACCAGUGUGUUGAACCCCCCAAAAUGGGAGGCCAUUGAGCUACUUAAGAAGGGGCAAACCAGUCCUGGUCAGAAAUGGAGCCGAUUAAAGUUCCAAUGGCAUUCAUUGGUGGGGUUGGGCCCAUGAGUGACAUGCAUUUCCAGCCUGGACAACAUAGGGAGACCCAGUUGCAA
rnacentral:SRP_RNA from 1 species